UUCUUUUUUUGCAGAAUCACAGAGAAGAGAUUAGUGAGAUGUCAUCUAGGCCACCCCUGUGCCCCAAGCCAGAGCCCACUAUACCUAAAUCAUUCCUGACAGAUGUUUGUCUACUCUUUAAAACCUCCAAUGAUGCAGAUUCCACAGCCUCUCUAGCUAUGCAGGAGAACUUCAGAGAAAAUUAGAAAUCAUCUUCUUCAUCUAAUCUACUCCAAAAGGGAUUAGCUCAGGAAGGAAAUCACCACAUGCUACAGCAAUUUAAAAGAGAAAAAUCCAGACAUCUUUCCUCAUGGGUGAUUGAAAGAGACUACUAAAGAUUUUCUACAAUAUCCAACCAACCUAAAAAGAAGAAAUGGAACAAAUUACACCCAAUCACAAAACAACCAUCAGAGAAACAACACUAACACCUUACGGCAUUGCAAUCUCAGACAUGAUGAAACUGAAAGCAGCAACCAACCCUCAAAUAUCAUCACCCUCUCCACGCACACGCUUACCAAAGCUGAAAAAACUGUACUCUCUAAAGGCCUGAAUUUCUGUCCAUAAAAAUACCUUAAUAAAAUACUUCAAUGUAGAGAACUAGAAGAAUUCUUCCAACGCCUUCACCUGAAGGAAUAUCUCCAACAACAAUUCAUCCUCUGACAACAUUGAGGAAAAGAUCUACCUCCCCCAAAACAUCAGACUGGACACCUCGCAGUGGAUGAAACGCUAACCUUGACUGCUAUAUUGACUGCUUCAGGGAAAGAAUGAACACUAAAAUAAUCAACAACACACACCACCAUAAUGACCUCUCCAUAGAUCUCUAAUAUCUAACCACCAAAUGGUAAUAAAACUAGCAGAUAAAGGAGGAGCAUAGUCAUCUUUAACCAUGAAGACUACAUAUAAGAUGCCAACAGACAACUCUCUGACACCACCUACUACAAAAAAAACUACAGAAAGAUCCUACUCCCCUUUUCACUUUGAAACUCAAAACUACCAUCAAGUCAUUUCCAUCAGAACUACAAGAAAAGUUACAGACCUUAAUCCCGUCCCCUCUCCCCCUGCUACCUAACCCAGGGACUUUUUACAUGCUCCUUAAAAUCCACAAACAAGGGAACCCUGGCAGACCUAUCAUAUCCAAUCAUGCAACCCUAACUGAAGAAACAUCAGGUUUCAUCGAGUCAAUCCUAAAACUGCUUGUCACUCAAAGAGCAAGUUUUGUCCAAGACACAGACUUCCUACGAUAAUUUAAAAACAUAGACCACCUUCCCAGCAACCAAGGUUCCCUCUAAGGUAUGCGCAUGCAUGGCCACACACAAGUAAAAAUCUUGCUGCGCACAAACUUUUUCAGGUUGCGCACCCACACAGAGGAACUGGGCGCAGAGUGUGGUGGAGGCACUGGGGCCAGCAUGGGACACUUACCGAAGAUAAGCGCCUCACUCCAGGGCAGGCAGCAGCUCCUCCCCAAGGCGGGACGGGGGGCUGGGGCUGGGGCUGGCGUGGGCUCCGCCAGCUCUGGGGGACUGCUUUACACCCCCGCAUCACCUUGGGAAGUGAGGAGGCACAUGGCAUCAGGGCUGGGGAGCAAAGCAAUUUCCUGGAGCCAGCGGAGCCCGUGGAGCAGUUCCCAGCCCCUGUCCCUGCCUCACCAUGCCUCUGGGAGCGAGGAGGCACAUGGCAUCAGAGCUGGGAAGUGGAGCAGUUCCCUGGAGCCGGCAUAGCCCAUGCCAGCCCCCAGGCCCCAUCUGUACCCAAGUGUGCGUGUGUGUGCACACUGUGGUUGUCUAAACUUCAACACAGAGGUAGAGCUCAAAGGGGAAGUACUGACAAGAUACCAAUACUUCCUCCCAGAAGUAUAUACCGUUUGAGAAUACAGAGGUGAACAGGAUGAAAAACUCAGUUAUAAGCGAUCAGCUGAUUUUUUUCUCCCCAGUCUGAUAUCCACACCUAAUGGCAUUAAUCUGGACAUUCAAAGUGAAGGGAAACCCGUGAUACCCAAAUGGAAUCAGCAAAUACUUUAAGUGAUGAGAUACUUUUAAUGAGAGCAGAGCUAUUGAUGAUCCAGUUCCAGACAACAUUUCAGGUGCCUGUCUUAUACUCUUGUCUUACCCUAAUUCAAUGACGCUCAACCUCCAGGACACAGAGCCGGGUCAUCUGGCCUGUAGGCUCCCUAAAGGUCUGGAAGUUUGAUGUCAGGGGAACAGCAGCACUGUUAAUACAAUUAUACUCUCCUUAGGGACAUUUACUGGCAGACUGCACUGAAAGGGGUAGGUGGGACCGAAGCCACGCUCACGGACCACUACUCCUUUGAGGGAACAUUGCCAGCAACACCCUCCUAGCCACAAUGGAUGUUAUCAGCUUAUAUACCAACAUCCCACGGCAGGGUAGCAUCCAAGCCUGCCUUACAUACCUACAAGAGCAAAAUGACAACUCAGAGUACAGACCUAAAGAUAUUACUGACCUUAUACACUUCAUCUUCACACACAACAACUUCACUUUCAAUAACCAACACUUCCUCCAGACCAUGGGCAUGGCUAUGGGCACUAAAAUGGCCCCACAGUAUACAAACCUUUUUGAGUCACCUGGAAGAAGAAGUCCUCAAGGACUGGACUAUCAAACCCUUGCUAUACUUAAGAUAUAUCAAUGACAUCUUCUUCAUUUUGACUGAAAACUUGCAUCUCUGAUUGAAUUCCAUCAGAAAUUCAACAAUCAUCACCCCUCCAUCAGACAAUCUCUUGAAUACUCCAGCAUCAACAUCUCCUUUUUAGACAUGAUGAUCAAUAUCCAGAAUGGUAAAAUAUAGACCACAAUAUACAAGAAACCCAUGGACCAACAUACGUAUCUGCACAGAACCAGCAAUCACCCUGAACACACCAAGAAAGCUGUAAUAUACAGCCAAGCCCUCAGAUACCACUAAAUUUGCACUGAGAACACCUGUGAUUGCUCCCUCACAAAUUUCAAAACGGCUUUCACUCAACAAGGACACUUCUCCAAAGAGAUAGACUGCACUUUUGAAAGAGCCAGCCAGAUACCACAUGAAGAAUUGCUGCACUACAGAAGAAAAACCCCAUGAAUUGCACACCACUGGUUAUGACAUAUCACCCCCCUCCUAGAACCUAUAAGGAAAACCCCCAAACAAUUGCAACCCAUACUAGAAUAAGACCUUCCCAAAGGUCUUGAAGAGUACAGUCUCUUCUUAAAGAUAUCUUCCCAGAAUGACCCAUCCUAGCCUUUAAACAAGCACCAAACCUCACUAACUGCAUCACCAGAAGCAAACUUCCUAUGGCCCAAAAUAUACCAAAUGGAUCCAGACCAUGCCAAGACAAGAAAUGUAAAACCUGACAACACAUUUCCACCACCCCCACAAUUACUACACCCCACAAUAGAACCAUCAGCAUUCCUGGAUCUUACAGCUGCACCUCUACAAAUGUAAUAUAUCUCAUCCAAUGCACCAAAUGCCCUGAUGGAAAAUAUGUAGGAGAGACGAAACAACUGCGCACCACAAUGAAUGCAUAUCAGAAAUCUAUCAAGACAAGAAUACCCAAUUACCUGUGGGGGCAUAUUUCUCACAAGAAAACCACCCUCUCUCCAAUCGUAGUUCUAAUCCUCAAAGUGAAUUUACAAGACACCUUUCACAGACAAGCCUACCAACUUCACUUCCUCAACCUACUGGAUACAAAAAUCAUGGACUAAAUAUAGACAUUGGAUUUAUGACGCAUUAUAACCUGCCUAACAUUUGACUCCCCAGGUACCUCUCCACUAUUUACCAGCUACAUUCAUUCCCUUCCCCCCCACCCCAACCUGUCUCUCACCCACUGACUCCUUAAUUUACAUCUUCACUGACUGGCUUUCUUGCAUGCAUACCAGCUGCUGGCUUCUUUACUAUUCAUUCCAUCUAGGAAGAGCACACACUAACUGCAGAUGCUUCCUCAGUCUGACACAGGGUAUUUGUACCCCAAGGCUUGCAAAGAAGAAUCUUUCCAACUAUAUGAGUUGAUCUAAUAAAAGUUAUCAGAUUUACCCAAAGAACCUUGUCUGCCUAUGUUCUUAGACCAGCAUGGCUACCACCUAUACCCCUGGUUUAGUUAAUGCUUUUGGAGAAUGC